GAUGAACGCUGGCGGCGUGCCUAAUACAUGCAAGUCGAGCGAACAGAUGAGGAGCUUGCUCCUCUGACGUUAGCGGCGGACGGGUGAGUAACACGUGGAUAACCUACCUAUAAGACUGGGAUAACUUCGGGAAACCGGAGCUAAUACCGGAUAAUAUAUUGAACCGCAUGGUUCAAAAGUGAAAGACGGUUUUGCUGUCACUUAUAGAUGGAUCCGCGCCGCAUUAGCUAGUUGGUAAGGUAACGGCUUACCAAGGCAACGAUGCGUAGCCGACCUGAGAGGGUGAUCGGCCACACUGGAACUGAGACACGGUCCAGACUCCUACGGGAGGCAGCAGUAGGGAAUCUUCCGCAAUGGGCGAAAGCCUGACGGAGCAACGCCGCGUGAGUGAUGAAGGUCUUCGGAUCGUAAAACUCUGUUAUUAGGGAAGAACAAAUGUGUAAGUAACUAUGCACGUCUUGACGGUACCUAAUCAGAAAGCCACGGCUAACUACGUG
rnacentral:rRNA from 1 species